GAUGCCAGGGUCAAAAGGUCUAAAUCCACAUGAGCUUGCUCAUAGGUGGAUGAAAGACCUUGGGACCCGCCCAGAUAUGAGCAUAAAAGUGGGAUGAUAAUCCCACGAUAUGCGAAUACUGGUGAGGAUUGUGGGAGUGCAACGCACGGAACAAUCCGUAGGCAUC
rnacentral:sRNA from 1 species